GCGAGCGUAGCUCAGUUGGUAGAGCACCACGUUGCCAACGUGGAUGUCGCCGGUUCGAACCCGGUCGCUCGCUCCA
rnacentral:tRNA from 1 species